rnacentral:rRNA from 1 species
GUGCAGCAGUCGAGAAACCUCCGCAAUGCGGGAAACCGCGACGGGGGACCCCGAGUGCCGUGGCAACGCCACGGCUUUUCCGGAGUGUAAAAAGCUCCGGGAAUAAGGGCUGGGCAAGGCCGGUGGCAGCCGCCGCGGUAAUACCGGCGGCCCGAGUGGUGGCCGCUAUUAUUGGGCCUAAAGCGUCCGUAGCCGGGCCCGUAAGUCCCUGGCGAAAUCCCACGGCUCAACCGUGGGGCUUGCUGGGGAUACUGCGGGUCUUGGGACCGGGAGAGGCGGGGGGUACCCCUGGGGUAGGGGUGAAAUCCUAUAAUCCCAGGGGGACCGCCAGUGGCGAAGGCGCCCCGCUGGAACGGGUCCGACGGUGAGGGACGAAGGCCAGGGGAGCAAAACCGGGAUUAGAUACCCCGGGGUAGUCCCCCGAGACG